rnacentral:rRNA from 1 species
GCAAGCCACAUUAAGGUGAAACCGCGAAUGGCUCAUUAAAUCAGUUAUGGUUCCUUGGAUCCUACCAAUCCUACUUGGAUAACUGUGGUAAUUCUAGAGCUAAUACAUGCACCCAGAGCUCCGUCCAGAAAUGGCCGGGGCGCAGUUAUUAGAUCAAAACCAAUCGGUCGGGCUCGCCCGUCCGUAGUUUUGGUGACUCUGAAUAACCACCGCUGAUCGCACGGCCUCGCGCCGGCGACGUAUCCUUCGAAUGUCUGCCUUAUCAACUGUCGAUGGUAGGUUCUGCGCCUACCAUGGUUGUAACGGGUAACGGGGAAUCAGGGUUCGAUUCCGGAGAGGGAGCCUGAGAAACGGCUACCACAUCCAAGGAAGGCAGCAGGCGCGCAAAUUACCCACUCCCGGCACGGGGAGGUAGUGACGAAAAAUAACGAUACGGGACUCAUCCGAGGCCCCGUAAUCGGAAUGAGAACACUUUAAAUCUUUUAACGAGUACCUAAUGGAGGGCAAGUCUGGUGCCAGCAGCCGCGGUAAUUCCAGCUCCAUUGGCGUAUAUUA